GAUUUGCCUUUCUGCCCAGAUAAAGCUAUUUCCACUCUCUGGUUGUACAUGCAAAAUUGGAUGCAAAAAUGCAGCCCAGUAAACAUGAAUUUUGGCAAGCAGUGUCUCAGGACACCUCUGGCCUUGUCUUGACCUCGGCUGUUUCAGCUUUUUUAUCUGAGACAGCAGCUGUGAAGCAGUCAGGGUGAGGGUUGCCAGAAGAGCUUUAUGCAGCUGAAAUUGUUAACCCCUCUCUUCAGCAACUGUGCAUAGACGUAAGUCCAGGUGAAUACCAAGUACAUAGGAUAUAACUAUUCCAGUUUGACAGAACUAUGGAACUGAAGAUCAGGCUGCAGCAGUGACAGUCAGACAGUGAGGACUUCAAGUACAUUUGACAGCUGUUGCAUUUCCGCAGGAUUUACAAAUCAGCUUUCUGCAUUCAACACCUUGAGUAGUGGGUGUGUUUAGACUGCAGAAGGCUGUUCUGCAGCAUCACCUUCUUUCCAAUUUCUACUAAGAAAGCCCUAAAAAAAUACAACAACAACAACAACCAGUUUAGAAGGUGAUGUUUGCAUUUGCUGGUUAAUAAAAAGACCCUCCAAACUACACUGAAACUCUGUUAGGCAUUACAAAUUUCAGCUCUUUUAGCUGUCUUCCCCUUUACCCUUACUGUGAUCUGAAUCUGCAGUGUGUAAUGUAAUAGCAAAUUGGCAAAAACAAAUUAAAAAAUAACAACCAACUGAGCAAAUACCCAACUUUACCCUCACUAGUCCCUGCCCAAGGAGUUUAUUUUCAAUCUACAUGAUAACAGAAAGAAGCCCCUGCAGAUGGAAGCAGCAAAGAGGUGCAAAGACAGCUUGAUUGUGUGUUUUUAAGCUGAUAACAAACCUGUAACACUGUAAAUGUGGGAUUUUCAGGAUUUCAGACGUCUACGAAGACAAAUGUGUUUUAUUUUAUUGUAAAAUGUCCAAAAAGUACAAAAAAUGCCCUCAGUGACACCGUCAGUUGAGCCAGGAAGGAGAAUCUCCUCAAGCUGUUACUUUGCUCAGUUCUCACAGUCCCAGAUGCCCAUGGUUGGCUGCGAUAAACCCUGGCACAGGCACGAUCUCCCACUGUGGCUGCCCAUGGAAUUAUUUGGAUAUUGUUCCAGACCUUCUGAUGAAUCUUUUCUCCUUGAGAGUAUCUCAAACACGUGGUCAGGUGAUUAUGUACUUCUCUUAUCAUUCUCAGCUCUGACAUACAAACCUCUUCUCAAAUCUAAGAUAACAGCUGGUACGUAUUAAUCACUGAUAUAAGUAAACCAGGAAGCAUUAGCUGGCACAGGAAUUAGUCACAGAUGCAGGGAGAUAACACAAGACCACAGUAAUCCCUGAUAUUUGUACUCUGUCUGGUACAAAACUAAGUACCAUGAGUAUAGGGAUCAUACACUCUUGUGCUAAAGUUAAAAGAAUUUUCCAACAUGUUUCCCCCACUGCUGCAUAGAUUUCUUCUUAAAGAAAUAUAACUUGUUCAGUGACAAAUUCAAGAGUCCCACUUGGAGACCACCUGAGGCCGUGUUCAGGCACUUAAUUGUGAAUGGCUGGGAGCUGGUCCACUCUCUCCAUCCAUCCACUCUCUGGCCCUUGUGGAUGGCUGCCAGGACCAUCCCGGGAAUGGACGCUGCAAGUGGUCUGAGAGUGCACAUGGUAUCUGCUAAGGCACAGUCAGAACUGAAGGAUCAUCUUCAAUUUCACACUGGUAUCUUCAGUACCAUCCCUUUUGGCACGGCUCAUAGAACUGAUGUUGUACUUUAUAAGGUUUUCCUUGUUAAAAGAGAAUUUGAGAAAGUGGCUGCGAAACGCUCACAGAAAAUCAUUAUUAAUCCACCCUUUUUUUGUAUGAUAACAAAUGAAACUGCAUCUGGGAAGACAAUCUGCAGUGGCUAGAGAUAAAUACCCAUCCAGCCCUUGAGUGAAAUAAACCUCUGCCGUUGUCACUAGUUCUGAAAUGCAGUUAAGGACACCUCAACCUCCAUUGGUGUCCAUAUAUAAAAGUACAUGCACACGCAGGCACAACUCCCCUUUCCUUUCUGGGUCCUCCCUAGGUUAUGUAUUAAACAAAUUAAGGAGACAAACAAAGGAAGUCUAUAACACAAAUAACUAUUCCAAUACAAAUAUUUGCAAGGUGUCUUUUUAAGGUAAUAUAUUCCAGGAUAUUUUAUGCAAAAUUUGGUUUCAAUUGUAUAAAUAGCUUCUCAAUUUGCAUUGAAACAGCUUUCUACUUGUAGAAUACAGAGGAGAAUUUAGCACAUACUGUCGUAUUAAACAAGAUCUCAACUGAAGGAAAUAGUGAUGCUCAGCAAAAUAUUUCUCUUGAUCAGAUAAACUGGUGUUCAGAAUACACCCCUACUGAAGAGGCAUUACUGUGUCAUUGAUAUUGCUGCACUAAAGUAAUGAAAAGCAAAUCUCAUGUGCUUGAUUAAAUCAACCCUUUCAUAGGGAACAAUUCAAUGAAGUGCAGACAGAACAACAAAACAGAGAACAGAACCAAAGUAGAUAUGUUUGAAGUGCCAAUGAAAAUGCAAAUUGAAUGAAGAGAUAAUCAAAACAUCAAAAAAGCUGAGAUUUUUCAUUAAAAUAUCCCCAUAAUACAAUAAUAUAAUAUUUUUUUUUCAGUCCUGGACUUGAAUAACAACAACAGCAUCUGUCCUGGCAUAGUUUUUAAUGAGAUAAAAUACUUGGAAUUAUGAAUAGUCAAGAGGCCCUUUGUAAUUGUACUCGCAUUUCUGCUCUAUUAAUGCAGGAUUUCUCCAGCAAGAGGCCCCUUACAAAGUCUAGUCUUGAUAGAGAUUUCUGUUCUUUUUUUUUAUGUAUAUGUACUGGCAAAUGCUCAAUUCUGUUCUGCAAAGGCACUCUCUAAACAUGGUAUCGUGGAUGCACUACCUACUCUGUUUUCAUCACCAUGUUCCAAAAAGAAGGUAUUUUAGUUUGACUUAAAAUGAAAACAAAAAUUAAGAGGAUUUCUAAAAAUAAAUAAAUAAAUGAAUGAAUAAAUAAUACCAGGGAGAGAAUCAUGAGGUGGCCACGCAUUAACAGCUGGCUUCACACUUUCUUCAUCUGUCCUGUAAGUUUUAAAUGUGGAAAACACUUUUGUAAACUACACAUAUUAUGCAGAUUCUGAGUGAAAUAUGCUCUGAUUUUACACAGACCUGUGUACCACCACUAACAUGAUUUUUCUUCCCAAAAUGCUGAAUUUUGUGAGAAAUAGAAACUAAGAAUUGUGUGUAAGUUAAACCAAUUUGACAUUAUAUUAUACUUGUGAAAGUGCUUUUUUUGUCUUUAUUAACUAAUAAGAUGUGGUCAGAGACAGUCUGUUGUUUAUAAAAUUCAAAAUUAUCUGACUGGAGACUUUUUAUAUAGGCCAAUUGUAUGUAGGCAGGAAUUAAAUCUGUACUUGCCACAGUCACUGUA